CUGAUCCAGCAAUGCCGCGUGUGUGAUGAAGGCCCUAGGGUUGUAAAGCACUUUCAAUGGUGAAGAUGAUGACGGUAGCCAUACAAGAAGCCCCGGCUAACUUCGUGCCAGCAGCCGCGGUAAAAGAAAAGA
rnacentral:rRNA from 1 species